AUUUGGUGCAUGCAUUCUUUCAACUUUCCCUUUUCCCCAUGCAGCAGAGAUAUGAAGCCUUAGAACUGUCCACAUAACAAAGUCUCCUGAUCCCCCGCGUCCCAUUCAUUGGCUGCUUCCGGAAAAUGUGGCUUAACUGCGUUAGAGUUCACGCACGUCUCGAUGGUUGGGAACUCCUCAAAAAGUUUCUCACUUGAUGCUGUUUAGGAAUCAGAAGGUGCCAGAAAGGGGAAGAGAAGCAGAGAAGACAAUGUCAUAACACCACUGAGAAAAGCGGCUUGAAAAUGAAAAUAAACACACUUCUCAUCAAAAGAGAGGAUUUGUACAAAGCGACCUGUAUUUUAUGUGUGAUGUUAUUCAUCCAUGGUUGUAGAAAGCGUAUUCCAGUCCUGUCUGUACCCCAGCUGCCGGAGAAAGGACGGCUGUACCUGUAUUGGAACCUGCCUCAGAAUGUCUACCCACGAGAUCUUACUCCAGCCAGACUUCUAGUGUUUUGUGAUUUUGCCAAGAAAUAAGGGAAAAAAGAUCCCUAAGAUGGCUAUUUCAAUGCAGCAAAGAGGAGAGGCUGUCUGUUUUCUAUGGCCCUGUGUAAUUCAGAUCCAGGAUGACUCAUUCCUCUUAAGUGAGAAUAAGCUUCAAAAAUUAGCCCAUUUUCCUCUCCUUCAGGCUUUAGUGUCCACAUCAGCCAAACCAAGCAAAGAGUUCACUUUGAAAGAAAUCUCACAGCAGACAGCAAAGCCUGAGCCACAAAAGACCCAUUUGUAAAGAGAUUAUCACCAAGGCAGCUCGUGGUUAUGAUUUGGGACAAAAUAGAUUCAUAGGAGUCAUACUUCUUUCAAAUACAUUUUCUAACUUGGACCAUAUGAAAAUUGGUAUCUAAUCUCAUACAAAAAAAAAGGUGUAUGCAGAAUAUCUUCAAAUAAACUGGCACGUAUUUAAAUAGGAAUUGUAAUUAAUAUCAUUAUCACUAAAAGAAAUGAUAUUUUAUAUAUACAAAGGCAUGUGUUAUAUCAAACACGCAGACCAUGGUGUCUAAUACGGUCCCCACUAAAAGGAACUAGGCUCUGCAAAUCAAUGGGUAAUCCCAAGGCUGGGCAAGAGACAUCUUUGAUGUCAGAAAGUAAAGAAGUGCUUAAAAAAGGGUAGGGGGAUAUGACAAAGACAUAGGAGCCAGGGUGAGGGGCUCCCACUGCCCAAAUACAGGAAAAUUUGAACACCAACAUAAUUAAGAACAAUAAAGAAUGUUAAACCAUUGGAAGAAAGAAGAAGCUAUCAGUUCAUACCAGUACCAGAUUAUUGAUGAAUAGAUGAUGGAUGGAUGGUAGAUGACAGAUGAUGAUAGAUAGACAGAUAGAUAGAUAGAUGAUAGACAAAUAUUGAUAGGAGGGAGAGUCAAAAGCUAAAUGUGGAAGGAAGGGUAAACUUAAAAGAUCAUGAUUUUGUAUCCAUCAUAGUAAAAAUUAGAUCAAGCAAGAAUUAGCAAGGGAUAAUCAAUGUAAGAGGAAAUUUAUAUGAGGAGCAGGAUAUUUACAUAGUCAUAAAGAAUCUCCCCACAGAUUGCUGAUUGGUAAUAAUAUGGUGCAGAGAUUGGACAACAUAUUGGCUGAGUGAUCAAAAUUAACAUCACCAAUGAGAGACAGAUGGACAUCAUGUGCCUCCAGAUGUGAUAAUGCUGAGACAGGCACAACAUCACUUAGGCAUCAUACCAGGCAUGAUCAUAAGACAACGUUGACAAAAUCAAAACGAAAAAUGGUUUGUUUAAAAGAAAAGCAAGUUUAUUCUUCAAAAAUGUUAAUGUGGAAGAAAAAAAAAAGAGGCACAGUGGAAAUAUUCCAGAUUAAAGGGCCCUGAAGAAACACA